rnacentral:tmRNA from 1 species
GGGGGCGAUCGGUUUCGACGGGGUUGUGGCAGCGUGAGGCGCGUGCCGAGGUCUGUCGCCUCGUUAAAAAGGCAAAAACACACAAAUGCCGACGAUCAGUUGGCCUACGCUGCCUAACUUAGUUAGGUCUUAAGCGUACGGUUUCCCUCGUUCUCGCCCAUGGGGCGGGGGCAAGCCGUCAUUAAUGUGGGCUAGUUUGGUUAUUGCUCCGCUAACCGAGCGAAUUUUAGGAGCUGGUCAAACGGCAACCCCGCCGGUUGGGGUGUCGGGCGACGAGAAUUAAACUUCCGGCUACGCACGUAGUGGCUCUCGUGAAUGCAAUUUCGGACGCGGGUUCAAUUCCCGCCGCCUCCACCA